UAUUAGGUUGGUGCAAAAGUAAUUGCGGUUUUUGCCAUUAAAAAUAUGGCAAAAACCGCAAUAACUUUUGCACCAACCUA
rnacentral:miRNA from 1 species